rnacentral:rRNA from 1 species
AUGACCAUGGGCAACCUCGUGCUCUUGCUCGUCGUACUCGCGGCCGCCCUAUCACCGGUCGCCCGCUGCACCACCGAUCGCGACGUCGGUUUCCAGCUCAAGCUCACCCACGUCGACGGGCGCGCUGCGCCUGCGUACACCAAGCUGCAGCUCCUCACCCGCGCCGUCGUCCGGAGCAGGGCCCGCGUGGCCGCGCUGAGCGCCGUCGCAGCGGCGGUGGACCCGAUCACGGCCGCGCGGAUCCUGGUGAGGGCCAGCCAGGGCGAGUACCUGGUGGACCUGGCGGUGGGCACGCCGCCGGUGGAGUACACGGCCAUCGUGGACACCGGCAGUGACCUCGUCUGGACGCAGUGCGCGCCGUGCAUGCUCUGCUCAGACCAGCCCACGCCCUUCUUCCAGCCCAACCGGUCCGCCACGUAUCGCCUCGUGCCGUGCGGCUCGCCGCGCUGCGCCGCGCUCUCCUACCCGGCGUGCUUCCACGGGGUCUGCGUCUACCAGUACUACUACGGCGACUAUGCCUCCAGCGCCGGCGUCCUGGCCCAGGAGGCAUUCACGUUCGGCGCCGCCAACUCGACCAAGGUCAGGGUGCCCGGCGUCGCCUUCGGGUGCGGCAACGUCAACGCGGGCUACCUCGCCAACAGCUCCGGCAUGGUCGGCCUCGGCCGUGGCCCGCUGUCGCUUGUCAGACAGCUCGGCCCUUCCAGGUUCUCCUACUGCCUCACCUCCUUCCUCACGCCGGCGCCCAGCCGGCUCUCCUUCGGCGCCAUGGCCUCCCUCGACAGCACCAACACCAGCGACGGCGCGCCGGUGCAGUCCACGCCGUUCGUCCUCAACCCGGCGCUGCCGUCCAUGUACUUCCUGUCCCUCCAGGGCAUCAGCCUGGGGGACACACGCUUGCGCGUCGACCCGCUCGCGUUCGCCAUCAACGACGACGGCACGGGCGGCUGCAUGAUCGACUCUGGCACGUCCAUCACGUACCUGUACCAGGACGCGUACGAGGCCCUCCGCCGUGAGGUGCUGUCCGUCGUCCCGCUGCGGUCGGUGAACGACACGGCCAUCGGCCUCGACACCUGCUUCCCGUGGCCGCCCCCGCCCAGCGUGACGGUGACCAUGCCGGACCUCGUGCUCCACUUCAACCGCGCCAACAUGACGGUGCCGCCGGAAAACUACAUGCUGAUCGACAGCGCCACGGGGUUCCUGUGCCUAGCCAUGGUGCCGUCGGGCGACGGCACCAUCAUCGGCAACUACCAGCAGCAGAAUCUGCACGUGCUCUACGACACCGCCAACAGCCUCUUGUCCUUCGUUCCGGCGCCUUGCAACAUUGCCUAG